rnacentral:rRNA from 1 species
GACGAACGCUGGCGGCGUGCUUAACACAUGCCAGUCGAACGGAAAGGCCCUGCUUUUGUGGGGUGCUCGAGUGGCGAACGGGUGAGUAACACGUGAGUAACCUGCCCUUGACUUUGGGAUAACUUCAGGAAACUGGGGCUAAUACCGGAUAGGAGCUCCUGCUGCAUGGUGGGGGUUGGAAAGUUUCGGCGGUUGGGGAUGGACUCGCGGCUUAUCAGCUUGUUGGUGGGGUAGUGGCUUACCAAGGCUUUGCCGGGUAGCCGGCCUGGGAGGGUGACCGGCCACAUUGGGACUGAGAUACGGCCCAGCCUCCUACGGGAGGCAGCAGUGGGGAAUAUUGCACAAUGGGCGGAAGCCUGAUGCAGCAACGCCGCGUGCGGGAUGACGGCCUUCGGGUUGUAAACCGCUUUCGCCUGUGACGAAGCGUGAGUGACGGUAAUGGGUAAAGAAGCACCGGCUAACUACGUG